AUCUGUAAUUAUUCCCCCUUGUGAUACGCAGAGAAACUCUCUGAACUCACCACUUGCCAGUGCUACUGACCAAGUAUCUAUUUGUACCGAGUGUGGAGUGGAGGAGGAGGAAUGGCUGAUGCAGUGGGACAGCCCGUGGAGGUGUGCCGCAUCAGAUCUCCAACCUCCUGCGGCUGGCAGAUGUGGGAGGCCACAAGGACAUCGUGGCAGGCAUCAUGCAGGCAGCCAGGGUCCAGCCAGCUGCUGUGGCCUUCCGCCUAGUCCAGAUCCUCCAGCAGGAUGAGUUCCAGGAUGGAGCGAAUCAGGCAGAUGCUGAGGAGUAAGGCCGGGCAAGUGGCUCCAGAGCCAGCAGCAAACAUCAGCCAGCCUGCCCAGGAGGAGAGCGGCCCCUCUGUCCCCGCAGGCGGGGAAGAGGCUCGUGGCCAGGGGAAAGAGAGGAGCUGCGUCGCCUGCUGGAGGGGGAGGAAGACAGCAGCUCCCCUA